rnacentral:misc_RNA from 1 species
AAGUCGUAACAAGGUUUCCGUAGGUGAACCUGCGGAAGGAUCAUUAACACGUAUCCAACGUUAAACCCCCCUGUGAACCUUUAGUGUGCACCCCUUUGCAUGAAAACGGGCCUGCGCUUAAUUGUGCGGCCAUAAACCGAACAACUGUUAACAAUGGAUAUCUUGGUUCUC